rnacentral:lncRNA from 10 species
CUUGCUGCAGCCAUGUAAGAGGUGCCUUUUGCUUUCUCCCAUGAUUGUGAGACCUCCCAACCACAUGGAACUGGACUCUGAUUACACUGGACCUAUCCAAGAUCUGAGAUCAUCAACUCAUCUCAAAAUCCUUAAGCUGACCACAGCAGCAUCGUCCCUUUUGCAGUGUAAGGGAGCCCAGCUGGGACAAUGUGUGAAUCAACGCAUGAAGGAGUGAGUGAGCAGCUAACCAAAUGAAAGAAUACUCAGAUAUCUGGGGUACAGUUCCCCUCCAGGUUUGCACAGCAUCUGCUGAAGUCUCCACUAGAAACUCAAUGGAAGGUCCCCACCGGAAACUGAAAGUCUCCUAGAGUGGCUUUGAGUUGCGGUUUCACCCUCCCUGCAGAUCCACAGGGGAGGCUGGGGCAGAUGGAAAAUACCAACUUGAUGGUCUGUGGCCACACCAUGCUGCUCCCCAAGGCCCCUCAGAAUUUCACUGCCCAAUAUGGUAGCGCCCAGCCUGAAACGUGGCCAGUGUGAAUUGAGAUGGGCUGGAAAUGCACCAGACUUCCAAGAGCUGGACAAAAACCAUAUACUUUCCAUCCAGCUGUUUGGCAUUGGAUACUGCUGCCUCUGCUUGACUUGAGAAUGUGUGAGAAAAGCUGUGUUUAGACAACUGAAAACCAUGAGCUUGAAAGUAGUGGGGGCACACUCUUGGAGACUCCAGUUGCUCACCAGCUUGGACAAACCACUGGACUCAAAUGAUCAGGUAGAAAUUCAUCACUGGAGAGAACACAGUGGAAUGGCUUCAGCGAAAACUCACUCUGAAGGUCUUCAGGGCAACUUUAAGACUUGCCCCUGGCCGGGCACAGUGGCUUAUGCCUAUAAUCCCAGCACUUUGGGAGGCCGAGGCGGGUGGAUCACCUGAGGUCAGGAGUUCAAGACCAGCCUGGCCAAUAUGGCGAAACCCUGUCUCUACUAAAAAUCCAAAAAAUUAGCCGGGCGUGGUCGUGGGCGCCUGUAAUCCCAGCAACUCGAGAGGCUGAGGCAGGAGAAUUGCCUGAACCCGGGAGGCAGAGUUUGAAGACAGCCGAGAUUGCACCACUGGGCAACAAGAGCAAAACUCCAUCUCAAAAAAAAAAAAAAAAAAAAAAAUACUUGCCCCGGCUUUUUGUGUGAUGGACUUUCUAUUUACAGACGUGAUAUUUAUCUAUGACUUUACUCAGAGUCUGGCUCAUAGACCAGAAGGACUGGUAUCUCCUGGAGCUUGCAGGAAAUGCAAAAUCUCAAACCCCUGUAUUAGUCAGGGUUCUCCAGAGAAGUAGAGCCAAUGGGAUAGAGACAGGGAUAGGGAUGAUAGAGAUGGAGAUAGAGGUAGAGAUCCAUUGAUUCCUCUGUUAAUAAAUUGGCUCAUGCAGUUGUGACAAUUUCGAAAUCUGCAAGGUAUGUCAGCAAGCUGGAGACCCAGGGAACAGUUGAUGUUGCACCUUGAGUACAAAGGCAGUGUGUCUGGAGCCAUAAUAUCUUCUUGUUAGGAAGACUUUGGUCUUUUCUCUUCUGGCCUUCAACUGCUUGGGUGAGGCCCGUCCCCACUACAGAAGACAAUAGUCUGUUCUACUCAGAGUCUACUGAUUUAAAUGCUCAUCUCAUCCCAAAAAAUACCCUCACAGCAACAUUUAGCCUGUGCAUUUGACCAAACAACUGGGUACCAUGCCCCCCCUCCCAAGUUGACACACAAAAUUGACCAUCAUACCCUCCCCACCCCCAGUCUUACUGAAUGAGAGAGAAUCUGUGCUUCAACAAGAUCCCCAGAAGAGGUAUAAGCGCAGGGAAGUCUGAGAAGCACCACCUUUGAGGCUUAUCCAGGAUGCCCACAUGAGCCUUCUCUGGAUAUGUCAGAUCCCCUUCCUGGCCCCCUAGACACCUCCUCCACUCCCCAAACUUGGAAGCAACAUUGUGGGGAAGCAGGCAGUGAGGCGCUCAGUCUACCACGUUGUGAGAUACACAGCUCCAUCUGUGUAUCAUGAUUUGAUCCAAGGGAAAACAAAAGAUCCAGAAACAUAAGUACUUUUUUGUGAGCUCUCAAAAACUUCCUGUGACAAGAUCAGGUCGUUGAUGCGAGAGCCACACUUGUUUCUUUUUCCUCUUUAUUCUCCACCUCUGACAUAAUACUUAGCAUAAAAAAAAAUCCAAUAAACACCACUGAAUCAAUUAUCUAAGCCUCAGUUUCCCUCUUGUAAUAUGUACUUACCUGGUUGUGGUAGGAAAGACACCAGGCAUGAGAAACACUUAAAAGCCCAGGACCCUGAGCUGGGCACAUGGUAGGUACUCAGGAAGUCAUUGCCGAGUGUUCAGUGCAUGCUUGUUGAAUGAGUAAAUGAGGUCAGGCUUCAGCAUGCAAACACUCGCUAUAAAGCAGGAACCCUGUGCCCUGAGUGCACAAAAUAGAUAUCGAGAAGGAACACAGGCUCAGACAUCAGUGCCAUAUCUGAAGACAUUCAGCUAAUAACAGGAUGGAGUCCAAUCUGCUGGUGUGUGCACACCUGUGCCUGGGUGUCUUUGCUGGUGUGUGCACAUGUGUCUACAUGUGUGGUCGUGAGAGUACACACAGGGGCUGGAGGGUGGGGAAGGGCUUAAUCUAAUCCUGAAAGUGCCAGCAGAACUCUUGGGUGUCCCUCAAAGUCAAGCUUCUUUCCAGGUCAUCGAAGUUUUCACUUGGGUAAUAAUGCACGCAUAAUUAACUGAACAAAUAUAAUGAAUCUAUCUGUAGUGACAUGAUAGUUGGUGCUGAAUCCUAUUAGAGCACAUUUAAUUAAAAAUGCAUUAAACCUUCAAGCUUCUAAACACACCCUGCGCUUCUUCAAAGCCGCCCCUCCGUUAAAGUCUUCCCCACUAUUAACUAUGAGUCAGCCUGUGACCCUUUGGGCAUGACGGGGUGAGGUGAAGUGGCUCUUAAAUGCCUGUGCCAGUAUAUCACAGGCACUAAUGGAUUUAAAUCAGGGAGAUUAAUUCCAUUCAUUCGGCUCCUCAUUUCAGAAACAACUGUCACGCUGAGCCUAAUUGCUGAAGAUGGUUGAAGGCACCAGGAGGCUGGAGUUUCCUGGAGGUGGUUUGUGGCCAACCGUCAAUUACUUGGGCUGCUGUGCAGUGGGGAUAGAAGGAUGAUUAGAAUCCACAGACAACCCAUUGGCCUUUGUUUACCAUUAACUUCUGUUUUCUCCACCAGCCAAGCUCCUCCAGACCCAGGAGAUGGCUCUUCCCUCUGUGUAGCACACUCUUUCCAGUCAAGGGGUCUUGCACUGCUAUUUCCCCUUCUGCUUUGCUUGGUUCAUUCUUACUGACCCUCCAAAUACUGAAGGAAUGAAUGGAGAAAUAAGUAAAUGAGAGAUGUGGCCAAGAGUCUCCAAGAGAGGAAAUUAAAAAAUCCUAUACCUGUGAGGAACUGGCCCACUUGCAAAAGGCGGACUCAUUUGUCACUGUGUUUGCUGGCUGCUCGCACCACACAGUUUCCAGCCUAGGCAUUAUUUCCAACCUCUUUUUCCAAAGGGUCUUUCUAAGGUACAGAAAAUGGACAUAAAAUCGCCCAACGUAGUUGAGAGGUAAGGAGUAAAAGCCGGAAUUUGAACUCCUAAUCUCCUGCCACGAUUUCAUGCUGCCUCUGGGUAAUCUCCCAGCACGUUGCUUAAUCAGCUGCUGAGUCAUUGAGAGCCGGCAGAACCAGCUUCCUGCUGAGGCAGAGUGGGAGGAGGCCCGUCUGGGAGCAGCACACUGAAGGAAGGGAGGAGGAGGUGAUGUUUGGCACAAUCGGAUUGGUUCCCAUGAGGUCCAGGGCUGCGGCUCCUACAGAAGGCACUUUUUGCAUAUGGUAGGCUUCACGGGGUGCAACCUCUGUGUUGUUAGGAGAACCUCGUGCUUGCUAUGAUGCUCUGCUGUCAUUAUCUUGAAAUUCUUAGUCACAUUAAAACACGGGAGCCUACAUGUUUAUUUUGCACUGGAUCCUGCAAAUUAGCCAGUCCUGGUACUGAGGGCAGGUCCCUGGGUGAGUCUCACACAGCCUCCAUCCUUUGGUAAAGCAGCUUUCCUGAUUUAGCAAAUGCCUUACCAGAAAGCCUUUUCCUUGAAGAUGCUUUAACUUUUGUCUUCCCUGGCAAAGCUGUUUCCUUAUGGUAAAGCACCCAGCUCAUAGCUGAUAUUCAAUCCAUGAAGUAGCUCUGUCAGCAGCUGUCAUCAUGAAGACUUUGCAGCCUGCGGGUGGUAGCAUUCUGAAUCGUCAGUCUGUCUCGCUCCUGUAGCAAAUGCACGAUCCGGGAAAGCAUGUCCCAAGCUUUGUUCUGGAGAAGAUUUCUCCAGCUAUCAGAUGGUGUCUGUCAUCACAAUAGCUUAGGAGAUGCUGCUCACUCCAUCCUCCUCACUAAGUGUCACAGUACACUUGGGUAUGUACAAGUCUCUGAGAAGUCCAGCAGCAAAGACACCUUUGUGUUUUGCUGAUUCUAGCCUUUCCUAGACUAGAAGUCUUUUUUUCUAGUCUAGGAAAAGACUGUGGAAUCUUUUCUUUUUUUUCCUGAUACACACAUUCACAUUCCGUGGAACAUUUAGGACGUGGUUAUCUGGUCCUAAAGUAGUAAAGGUGAAGAUGUUGUGGGAGGUGCAAGAAAGAGCAGCAAGGAGUAGAUGGGGCACACUGCAAAGUGCGAUCCCCACAUACCUAAGUUAGUAUCAAUUACUACUAACAAAACUCGGCCAAGACUCUUUUGCAUUCGUUUUGUUUCUCUCUUUUACCCUGAUUAUAUUAAGAAAUAUGACAGGCCUGUGACUCACUGAUUAGACCAUCUUAGUCACUUUGGGUUGUCCCAGCAACAGGAGACUUAACUCUGACCAUAGGUAAGGAGCCCAGAGGACAGGAGAGCAGGGAUUUCUGAGGAUUUAACAAAUGCUUAUAAACAAAUGAUAUCACUUUGAACAAAGUAAUCAAAGUAUCAAAUGCUAUAAACACCACAGUAGGGCAAUGUGUGAAUCAUACUUGUGGUGAGACAUACAUAGAUCAGCUGCAAAGAGGAACUCAAUUCUGCAGAACCUCAGCUGGAGUAACUGAUGUGAAACAUGGACAGGGAAAUGGAAGGAAGUCAGCGGACACGGAAACUCUAGGAACUGAACUUUGACAAGGAACGCCGUCCAUAAUCCCAAGUCCUAUGACUUCAUAGAGGAAAAAAACCCUAGUGGAGCAGAACAGGGCCUCAUAGAGGGGCUGGGGCCUCACUGAGGGCUGGGAAGUUUGAUAGGACUUCCCUUGCUGGUAAGGAACAAAACUGGGUCUCAGGUUCAGGUUUGUAAAGCUAAUUUCAUACAUUUGCAGCAGAUGCUGUCAGUGUCCCUCCCCAAGCCCCUCAGCACUCAGCAUUCAUAGACAUCCUCAUCUUGCAAGCACCUGAGUCUCUCUCUGUAAGGUUUCUGUUGGCCUCAGGGCAGACCAGGGUACCAGGGAGGGCAGACCAGGGUACCAGGGAGCACAGCCCUCAAAGAAAGAUGACAGGAGUUGGUGUAAAUCUCAUGGCUUUCAUGUUACUUAGGGGGACCAAUGCUGAGGCAUGCUUAGCAUGAUCCUCUGUGAGACUGGGCCUCAGGUGUCCGCUGCAGCCGCCUGUUCAUUAGUGUGACAUGCACGGGAUUCCUUCCGUAUCCUGGCCCCUUUCUCUACUUCCCAACCGUGCUUCCUGAGACAUACUCAAAUCCUUGUCUCACACUUGGCUUCUGGGAGAAUCCAACUGCAAAUGCUGUGUUUUAUUUUUUAUUUAUGUAUUUAAUUAUUUGGAGAUAGGGUCUCCCUCUGUCACCCAGGCUGGAGUAAAAUGGCACAAUCCUAGCUCACUGCAAUAUUAAACUCCUGGGCUCCAGUAAUCCUCAGCCUCCAGGAGCUGGAACUACAGUCGUGCACAGCAAUGCCAGCUAAAGUUUCCUUUAAAUUUUUUGUAGAGUCAAGAUCUCACUAUUUCAGUCAGGUCUUGAACUCCUUGCCUCCCAAAGUUCUGGGAUUACAGCACUUGGCCUCCCAAAGUGCUGGGAUUACAGGCGUGAGCCACUGCAUCUGGCUGUUUAUUCCAUUAAAAUGAUUGAAGGAGUCUCUUGCUUUGGGAAUUUUGCUCCCGUGGUGAGAACACUAUGGGAAUGACAUCUCAAGAAUAUGGCUCCUUCAAAUGAAUUUAAAAUGGUCUUUCUAUUUUUGUCCAGUGGUUACAAUAGCUGAUGGGCUCGAGGUAAGGAGAUGCUAAGCUGCCAUUCUCUCCUUCAACCCAUGGCAUUUACUGAGCUUCUAAAUCAGUCAGGCCCUGGGCUGGACCCUGGGCAUGCAGACUGAAUCAGAGCCUUCAGGACUAGCAGGAGAGACAGGUAUAUAUAGUGGCAAGGGCAAUAUUUAUUCACUCAUUCAUUCUUUUUCCUUUUUUAUGUGCCAAAUCUUUAAUGAGGGCCUACCUUGUACUCAGGAACACCAGGAAUAAACAGAAAACAAAAAGAUAUCAUUUCUGGACUCAGUUCACCAUCUAGAGAAAAAAAAAAAAAAAAAAAAAGACCUGAAAUGGACAAAUACAGUACUGUUUGACAAAUGUCACGUAAGAAGAAGCCCAUGAUACUGAGGAUGGUAUAGGAGGGGCCGUAUCCAGGUUGAAGGAGUCAAAUAUGACAGCUGCCGUGAGAAUUACAAUCAGAAAACCAUGACCCGGAUGCUUAUCCUAUUCAUUGCUUGAGCCUGAGAACACAAACACACAGGGUGUGGCUGAAAUUCCUCUGAAAUUGUAUUGAUUUGAGAAAACUGCAAUCUUGUGUUAAAAUGUGAAUCAUACACAAGGAUGCAAAACAGUUACCGCUGACCAUAAAUCUAGGCUAUCAGAAUGGAAUCUGAUGGCUUGUCUACCAGACUGCAUUGUGAAACCAAUCAAAUGGGAGAUAGACUCACCACUUACCAAGUACCUCUGAGACACCAGGCACCCUGUGGGGUGCCCUACUCAUCAUCUUGUUUAACCAGUUGAUUGGGAAUAGCUCCAUUUUACAGAGAAAGACUGUUAGGCAGCUUUCUAAGAUGGCCCUAAUUAUUCCUUCCUUCUGGUAAUCCCCUUCCUUUAAAUGUGGGCUACACUUAAUUACCUGCUUUUAACAAACAGAAUAUAGCAAAAGUGAUGGGAUGUCAGGAGACUGAAUCAGUAACCAAAAACCUCCAGACAAAGAAAAGCCCAGGGCCAGAGGGCUUCACUGGUAAAUUUACCAAACAUUUAAAGAAGAAUUAGCACCAGUCUUUCUCAAACUCCUCAACAAAUUGAAGAGGAGAGAACACUUCUAAAUACACUUUAUGAGGCCAGCAUUACCCUAACAUCAGAGCCAGACAAAGACACAAGAAAAGAAAACUACAGACUAAUAUUUCUAAUGAAUCUUGAUGCACAAAUCCUCAAAAAAGAAGAAAACAUACUAGCAAACAUAAUUCAGCCGCACAUUAAAAGGAUUAAGCACCAUGACAAAGUGGGAUUUAUUCUUAGUAUAAAAGGAUAUUUCAACGUAAAAAAGUCAAUGUAAUAUAUCACAUUAAUAGAAUGAUGAGAAAAAAUCCACAAGAUUAUCCCAAUUGAUGCAUUUAACAAAACUUAAUACUCUUUCAUGAAAAAACACUCAACAAACCAGGAAUACAUGAAACUACCCCAACAUAAGACAGUCCACAAAUGAAAAGCUCACAACCAACAUAAUACUCAUGGUGAAAAGCUGAAAGCUUCCUCUAAGAUCAGGAAUGAGACAAAAAUGUCCACUUUUGAAUCAACCUGUAUUCAACAUAGUAUAAGAAGUCCUCGCCAGAAUUUUCAGGAAAAAAAAAAAAGAAAGAAAAAAAAGCCAGUCAAAUUGAAAAGAAAGAAGAAAAAUUAUCUUUGCUCACAAAUGACAUGAACUUAUAAAACUCCUAGAAUUAAUAAAUGGAUGCUGCAAUGUUGAAGGAUACAAAAAUCAACACACAAAAAUCAGUUAUGUUUUUAUAUACUAACAAUGAAUGAGCCAAAAAUGAAAUUAAAACAAUUCCAUUUACAAUAGCAUCAGAAAGACUAAAAUACCUAACAAUAAACUUAACCAAGGAGGUAAAAUGCUUGAGUAUUUAGACACUAAAAAUUAUAAGGCCUGCACGGUGGUUCAUACCUGUAAUCCCAGCAUUUUGGGAGGCAGGUGGAUCACUUGAGGUUAGGAGUUUGAGACCAGCCUGGCC